AAUAUCCAUUGUAUUUCCCAUUUUGGUCUUUUAAUCGGGCAAAUAAAUUCCUCCAUUCAUUUUAUUCAAAUUUUAAUUACCCACAUUUUCCUCAACUCUCUCUCUCUCCCGUUCUCUUUCUUCCCUCUCUUUCCCCCUUCAAACCCUAACACUUCUUCACCCUCUUUCUCCCUCAUAUCUAUGGUCACCACCACCUCCAAUGAAAAAAUCAAUUCCAUAUUCGUAUUCCUCAUCUCACGGGCUUCAUAAUGAACGGGAAAAUAAAUAAAUCUAAGUGAAUACACUAGCAGAGUUGCUUCCGGAAGUGAACACAUCUUUGAAGGACUACGCAGAAAAAAUUUCAGCUUCUAUUUCAUGACGUUCGCAGUUUCGAUUGAAGAAAUGAGUGUUGAAGAGGAUAAAAUUGGAGGAGUUAUUCUAACAGUUCAGAACC